rnacentral:tRNA from 1 species
GCGGAUUUAACUCAACUGAGAAAGCGCCUGCAUACAAACUAAGAUGUAGACGAAUCAAGUCCUCGAACAGC